UGCCCAUUUUUGAACACACAUUUUCAAAACAAUGAACAGUAAAAAGCAAAGAAGCCAUCGACGCAUUUCCACGAGCUGACCUGGACAGGGAAAAGGAGCUCCAACCACUGACGCAGGAUCUGGAUUCCCACCAUGCAUUUGCUAAUGGUCCUUUUUAGCUACAGCGGUUCACUGCACCGUCCCCCAGGCACCCACUAUCACCCACCGGCUCUCUACCAGCCAACAGGAAAGACCCCUACAUCUGCUGUUCCACUCAAUCUGACGCACAUACAAGGACAUCUACACGCUCAUGGAUAUAUACACACACACACACACACAUAUACACACACACACACACACACACACACACACACACACACACACACACACACACACACACACACACACACACACACACACACACACACACACACACACACACACACACACACACACACACACACACACAAGCCCCGAACAGAACCUGCAUCCGCACAAGAUAAAUAACCAAGCAGGUCCAGAUCAGCGCACAGGGACGCUAUCUAUCCUCACUUGGACACACACUGUACACCAAAAUCACAACAAAAAUAGACCGCCUGUUUGCAGAGUCAAUGUGCUAUGCAGAGAGAAAAAUAUUCAAUCUAGGAUCUAUUGAAUAUCUGACAUUUACAUCAGGAUGUUGAUACGACAUUUGUCAAUGGCUAGGUCAAGUAUGUGAGGAAAGAAGGAAGGAAAGAAAUAUCUAAUAACAAUGACGACCAAACCUUAACUCAUUAUCAACCUUUGUCGUUUGAAUGUAUAUCCCCACUACAGUAUACAACUGUCUACAUUUUGCAUGUAGGUCGACGCAGUAUUCUCCCAGUAACAUAUUGCCCUAAUGAGAAACAGGCUUCCUUCCUGUCUGCAUAAUGACUAGGCUUAAAACCCCCGACUACAGUAUAUAAAAUACACUGGAGGUCUAUGCAGGCUAACUAGCCUGCCGUACCUGCGGGGCAUGGGAUCAAGAGCUCUGUCCCUUUUUUACGAUGUCCCAGGAAUCCCAUUGAACCCACAGGUGCAGCAGCAUGGCUGGGAACGCCAGAGGGUGUGAGGGGCUGCACUGACCUUCGGUUAACCCUUUAGAGACAGACAAAACAAAAAAAAGGUUGUUUUGUUGUUUUCGUCUAGGUGGCAUCAUUCAUGUCAUCAUUUGUAUGAUUUUGAAUGAGUAUUUGAUUGGUGCCUUCUUGGGAAAGGUCUCACUUGUUAUUAAAAGAGAUCAUUACUAUAUCAACAAGA